AGGUUAAUUGUUAAACUUUUAUCAUCAUCAUUUGAUUAUAUCUUUUUAAACCGAAGAUGAACACCGAUUAUUAAUUAUUCAUUCCUUAUUUCAUUAGUUAAUUGCGAUAAUUAGUUGAUAAAAAAAGAGUGAACGCCACCUAAUGGAGAAAAAAUUAACCUUAGAAAAAAAGCUUAACCAUUUCUUUCACCAGAAAUCAGUUAAUCUCUUCUUCAGGUUCAUCUUUUUCUUUCUGUUUUUUGUGUCUAUUUUUUCUACUUUCCUCUCAUCAUUAUCAUCAUUUUCAUCUCCAUCAUCAUCGUCAUCAUCGCCUUUUUCUGUUGCCUCUUCAAUAGAUUUUGUUGAUCGCGUGUGUUCCUCUUAUGCCCUUAUUUUCGGACUCACACUCUUGUAUGACUUGAUUUUGACUCGAUCAAGUUUGAUCUUACCUUAAAAUCGGUUACCUGGUCAUAAUCAUCAUCACUAUUUUUCUAUCAACAGAUCAACUCAUCAACAUAAUACCUUUAAUCAAGCUGGAUAAUCUUUUCACCUUUAAGUUUUUCAAAUUCCUUCCAAUUUCCAGUUUUUCCUUUUCUCUCUUUGUUCAUCUUAAAGCUGAAGAUUUUUUCUUCCAUUUAUUUGGUAUUCCUUUAUUCAUGAGCCAUUCAUAGUUUUUUGUGUCAUCUAAUGAAUGUUGGAAUGAUGUUAAUUAACUACAAACACAUCUAUUAUGGUCAAAAUCAUUUAAUAGAUUUCAAGCGAGUGUAUGACAGAUUUUUUAUCUCCAUUUCAGGCCUAACAAAAAGUCAGCCUGGUAAUCAUCACUUUUUGACAAUUUAGAGUUUCAAUCUGUUUUUAUUUAUAAAAUGUCACCACUUGAAAGUGUGAAAGUUGGGAAAUGAAAAAAUUUUCAAGUCAAUCUUUAUUGUUUACCAUUUAACAUCAUCAUCAUUAUAUUCAUUUGAUGCACAAAAAACCAUCACUAUCAUUGAAUUUUUUUCCUUGUCAGAUCCGUGUUAUUAGGUUUAUCUGCGUGUGAAAGUUUAACCAAUCUUGGAAUCAUCAACAUCGUCCAUUGAUCGUAAAAAUUGUAUUUUAUUGUGCAAACAAUCGUAACUUGGUUUUUGGUAACAAUCUUCUUUCGUCUGAUGGUGUUUAUAUUUAUAAUGAAAAAUAAUAAUAAACACCAGCAUCAAUUGAACCCUCACAAUGAGAAUGAACUUUCAAUUAACUCUAAUUGAACCUAAUCAGUCCAAUUAGAGAAAGUUACUCUAUUCUCUCCAUUAUAAAUGUUAAACCUGAAAAUGAAAGGGGAUGCAUGAAAAAGAUGAUGAACAUGAUGAUAAUGGAGAUGAUUAUAAUGGAGAAUGACAAGGAAAAAGAGUUUGAAAUUUUAAUUCAACAGCAAAAAAAUAGAGUGGCUUAAGUGUUCAACAUUUGGAUAUAAACGAUUAUUUGACGCUGAUCACAAUCGACAAAUUGGUUAACCAACAAACAGCAGCUUUCAACGAUUUCUGGACCAACUGUCUUCUCUGUCAAUUAUGGAGACCCUUUGACCAUCACAAUUGCUUUAAUGGCUAUCAAACAUAUUGAAUUUGAUCAAGUUUUGAUUAGGUUAUUAUUAAUCUUCGGAUAGCCUUUCAUACUUAAUCAUUUAUUGAUUUGUUUGAGUGUAUUUGGUGACAUUCAUGUCAAUGAAUUGAAUUCCUCCUUUUUUUCAUUGGAUUCAACUUUUUGAUUGACAACAAGCAGCUACACAAUUAUUUGUUUUAGCUAUAUUUAGUAGGUUAAACAAUUGAUUGAAUAAAAGUUGAAUAUUAAUAAAU